UGGUACAAACACACAGACCCUUUCAAGUGA
rnacentral:piRNA from 1 species